UACUAAUGGAAAGACUGAGAUGAUGAAGACUCAACUAGAAACACUUCUCUCUCCCAGAUAUCAGUAUCAGACAAAAACUGCACUAUAGGCAUCCAGAGCAUGGUGGAAUUUACUCUGAGGCGAGGACUCAAUACUUGUCUUUCCAUUCUUCCUUAGGACCAUUUUCUUCUUGACAAAAAGAAUAAGGCUAUGAGAUCUCAGCAAAACAACUGUGCCCUGCCCAUCACUUGGCUUUGGAAUAAAAAAAAAUAAUGAUAUAAACUCUUUGACUUCCAGGAAUGAUAUGAACAGGAACUGUAAGAGCAGGAAGUCCAGAUGCUUCUGAGAGGACCCCAGCUCCUAAUUCCCAUUUGUAGACGGCUCAGAUCAAGACAAUCUCUUCAUGAAACAACUCAACACCUACUAAGGACUCAGAGAGCUUUCCCAAGGACCUUUUUUGUACCAAGACAGAAGGACCAAAACCAUCAGCUUUAAAGAAAACUGUGCCCUUCCCAACACUUGGCUUUGGAAAAAAGACAUGAAUGAUAUAAAUUCUCCGACUUCCAGGAACCAUAACUAGCAGGGAAGUCCAGAUGCAUCUGAGAGGCUCCCAUCUCCUGAUUACCAUAUUUGGAAGGCUCCAAUCAAUACUAUCUUUUCAGCAAACCUUCUCAACCACUACCCAGAAA